GCGGGCAUGGCGGAAUUGGCAGACGCGCCAGAUUUAGGUUCUGGUACGAGAGUGUGCAGGUUCAAGUCCUGUUGCCCGCACUA
rnacentral:tRNA from 23 species